ACAGGUUUAAUGUUCCUAAGCACGGUGUAAAGACGGAAUUGCGCCCAUAUUAUUGUUUAGGGUUUUCCAUAUGCACGGUAAAAUUACGAAAUUUCCCAUGUUAACAUGUGUAUCUGUGUUGUGAGCUGUCGUUCAUGCUUUUCUCGGUGGUUUAUGGAAUUCGACAUCAACUGUUUUCACACCAUCGAACGAAUCGACUCAUCCCAAUCUCCUGCACCUCUUCCUUCCUGCUCCAGUUCUCCAUUUUCGAUAGCCUUCCUCAUCUUUCAACGAGAUUCUUCAAUCAAACAAAACCACCGCCAACUCUGUAAAUUGCUUUUCCACCUGUUCACCCAAAUUCAAUGUAACACGCGAGAACCGCGACGUACCACCACUCCAUCCUCGCAUUUUCCAUAACCCUCUAUACGGAAGGGUUCCAAGGAUUGAAAAAAUUAUGGGUUCUUGGAGGAUUGGAGUGAGUGAAUCUUCCGCUCCGCCUCUUCGCCUCAUCUGGCAAAACAUCGUCCCAUUAGCUCUGUUGCUCGCAAUUAACAGAAAAAUAUUCGAAACCUAAAACCCUCAAACCAGCAAACCGUACCGUGUCGUCGUCUUGCCUUCGUCUUUCAGUUUCGAAAUUCCAAUUUAAGCGGUCGAUGAAAGCAGAGUGGGUAAGAUCAGUUGCUCUGCUACCCCAUCACUUUGCUUCUUGGCGAUGGCAUUGGCCUCAACCUCGCCCCCUCCAUCGAUGGUUUCUUUUAAUUCUGCUUCCGUUUUCUGAAUUUUAUUUCAGGUGCCUGAGAAACGGUGGGAAAAUUAAAAGGAAAAGUCUUUUAAUUUUCCCAUAUUUUCUUUGGGUUAAUGUUUAACAAUUUGAGCUGCUCUGUGUGUUGUAUAAUCGAGAAAUUUUGUUGGGAAAUUAGUAAUUAUAUAACAUUUGGAUAUUUGUAUAACUGAAUAUGUUUACAUAAACUAGAGAUUGAUUUUAAGUAUGAAGAAGUACCUAUUGGUGGAGCUGGCUUGGAUUUGACUGGAGUGCCAUUACCUGAUGAGACUCUUUUGUCAGCUAAGCAAUCGACGUAAUUCUUCUCGGAGCAGUUGGGGGUAGGUCAUGAUUGUCCUUCUCAAUCCGUUUUUUUUCUUAGUGAUUAUCCUUUUCAAGUGAUAUAAUUGAAUUCGAUUAUGGUCUUUGUUUCAAAUUUUGGCUUCAAUCUCUUUACUUUGAUUCUAAUGAAUGAAGAGAAUCGUUCUCAAAAUUUCAAGUUUUUCAUGAAUAUGUUGCAUUUCUUUAAAGCAUGAUUUGAUUUUUUUAAUUGUAAUUUCAACAUUUUGGAUCUCUGUAUGCCUUUUUAUUAUAUUAUUGCUUGUUGGAUCUGAUUGAUUUGGUGUGUAGAAUUUGGAAUUUGUUGAGGGAGCCUAAUGUUACCAUUGAUGAAGUCUGCGCUUUUGGAAGGAAAGUAGUGAUAUUUAAUUAUUGCUUAUUGCAUUUUGUCCAAUUUUAUGGGAAAAAUUCUGAAUUAGGUGUGUGCUUGAUCCGAAAAAGUCUCAGAACUUUGCAAUUCUUGCUUAUUGCAUUGUGUCCAAUUUGGAAGGUAAGUUGUGAUUCUGUAAGGAUGUAUUGAAGGGCCAUUUGUGUAGUUCGUUAGUGAAAUUUCGUUGUUUAUGUAUUUCCGAUAUACUUUGAUAAUUAAGGUUUAAAUGUCAUAAGGUUCCCUUGGUUUAGGAUUGACAAAUAAGAAGGAAUUGAAGAAGUGGGUUUAGGUUAUUGUGGAGAACUGUUACAGAAUUGUACUUAUUAUUGCAGGGAAAUAAAACAGAAUUGUACCUUUUGCAAAAUUAUCGAGUCGUAGCAAUUUGCUGAUUCCCUAUUCAAUUGAAGUAAUUUUUUUGAAAUUUUAUUUGUCUUCCUGUAAUUUUCUGAAAAAGGAUUGUUUUGUUGCAAAAAGCAGGGCUAUGCUCCCAUCUCUUCAAGACUUGAAGAUUUCUACAUUCCCCGGCUUUAUCUUGGAAUUCAGGUAUUUUGUUAUUUGAUUGCGUUGUAUUUCUGGAUUUGAAUGAAAUUGAUGCAUCUAGUCCUGCAAUUAAACAUGAAUUUCAUGGAGUCCCGUAAACUUAAUCAUAAUUGGUAAUUUUGAUUAAUUUUUUAAAGUCUUGACUGAUCAGAACAAUUUCAAUAUACUUAUUGUAAGUGCUAUGGAUAGUUGGUUUGAUGUGGUUUAUCGCUACUCCAAUGACUACAAAACACUCAAGUAACAUGUACAAAUUUCUUUUGAUUUCACAAUUUCCAUGAAUAUUUCAUGCCUUUUGUUAUGUUUACUUGAUUUCUAGUAUCAUCAUGUUACUUGUAAAAUUGUGAAUUCUGUGUUUUUCCACAUCCAGUUUCUAAAAAUGAUUUUCAUCCGUCCAGAAAUAUAAAAUAAUAAUUGUCUAUUGGGUCCAAAAAAAGGCCGAGAUGACAGUGGUUGGUAUACUAAUACUACUUUGCAAGAAAAUUUUGGUCAAACUAUUUUUCUCAAUGUAUUUACCAUGGUAUGCUUCUAUCAUCAGUCACCACCGGUUUGCAGACGAGUUCUUCCUGUAAAAAGGGGAAUGUCACAUCCCGGCCUGAGCCCCCACCACAUCCCAAUAUUUAUUUAUACAAUAUUUUUAGCAAACCAAGUGAGCUAUCCAUCGAUGAAGCAGAGUGGGUAGGAUUAGUUGCUUCUUUUACAAAUUGUAAUCACCGCCAAUUUUCCCACUUUUACAAAUUUAUUUAUACGAGAAUUUUUUUUAUUUUUAAUUUUUGUCUCCUUUUUCUCUGUUUAGCGGUCGAUGAAAGCAGAGUGGGUAAGAUCAGUUGCUCUGCAGCCUCACCCUCCAAACGCUACCCCAUCACUUUGCUUCUCAAUCCGUUUUAUUUCUUAGUUAUUAUCCUUUUCAAGUGAUAUAAUUUAGUUAAUUCGAUUAUGGUUUUUGUUUCAAAUUUUGGCUUCAAUCUCUUUACUUAGAUUCUAAUGAAUGAAGAGAAUUGUUCUCAAAAUUUCAAGUUUUUCAUGAAUAUGUUGCAUUUCUUUAAAGCAUGAUUUGAUUUUUUAUUGUAAUUUCAACAUUUUGGAUAUCUGUAUGCCUUUUUAUUAUAUUAUUACUUGUUGGAUCUGAUUGAUUUGGUGUGCAGAAUUUGGAAUUUGUUGAGGGGGCCUAAUGUUACCAUUGAUGAAGCGCCUUUGGACGGUAAGUGGUGAUAUUUAAUUAUUGUUUAUUGCAUUUUGUCAAAUUUUAUGGGAAAUUUUAUGAAUUAGGUGUGUGCUUGAUCCGAAAAAGUCUCUGAACAUUGCAAUUCUUGCUUAUUGCAUUGUGUCCAAUAUGGAAGGUAAGUUGUGAUUCUGUGAGGAUGUACUGAAGGGCCAUUUGUUUAGUUCGUUAGUGGAAUUUCAUUAUUUAUGUAUUUCUGAUAUACUUGGUAUAAUUGAUAGUUAAGGUUUGAAUGUCAUAAGGUUCCCUUGGUUUAUGAUUGACAAAUAAGAAGGAAUUGAAGAAGUGGGUUUAGCCUUUUAGGUUAGUGGGGAGAACUGUUAUAGAAUUGUACUUCUUGUUAUUGCAGGGAAAUGAAACAGAAUUGUCCCUUCUGCUAUGGAGUGGUAGCAAUUUGCAGAUUCCCUAUUCAAUUGAAGUAAUUUGUUUCAAAUUUUAUUUGUCUUCCUGUAAUUUUCUGAAUGUUUUGUUGCAAAAAGCAAGGCGAUGCUCCCAUCUCUUCAAGACUUGAAGUUUUCUAUAUUCCCUGGUUUUAUCUUCGAA